GAUGAACGCUGGCGGCAUGCCUAAUACAUGCAAGUCGAACGAGAGGAAGGAAAGCUUGCUUUUCUGAAUCUAGUGGCGAACGGGUGAGUAACACGUAGGUAACCUGCCCAUGUGCCCGGGAUAACUUCUGGAAACGGAUGCUAAAACCGGAUAGGUAACAGACAAGCAUUUGACUGCUAUUAAAGUGGCUAAGGCCAUGAACAUGGAUGGACCUGCGGUGCAUUAGCUAGUUGGUGAGGUAACGGCCCACCAAGGCGACGAUGCAUAGCCGGCCUGAGAGGGCGGACGGCCACAUUGGGACUGAGACACGGCCCAAACUCCUACGGGAGGCAGCAGUAGGGAAUUUUCGUCAAUGGGGGGAACCCUGAACGAGCAAUGCCGCGUGAGUGAGGAAGGUCUUCGGAUCGUAAAGCUCUGUUGUAAGAGAAAAACGACAUUCAUAGGGAAUGAUGAGUGAGUGAUGGUAUCUUACCAGAAAGUCACGGCUAACUACGUGCCAGCCGCCGCUGUAAAAC
rnacentral:rRNA from 1 species